rnacentral:rRNA from 1 species
AACGAACGCUGGCGGCAUGGCUAAGACAUGCAAGUCGUACGGGACGUAGCAAUACGUUCAGUGGCGAAAGGGAGCGUAAUACAUGGGUAACGUACCUUGGACACAGGGACAACGGCGGGAAACUGCCGCUAAUACCUGAUGAAGUCGCCGGGGGGCAUCCUCUGGCGACCAAAGGGCGGGGACCGCAAGGCCUGCCGGUCUGAGAGCGGCCCAUGUCCUAUCAGCUAGUUGGUGGGGUAACGGCUCACCAAGGCUGCGACGGGUAGCGGGUGUGAGAGCAUGGCCCGCCUCAUCGGGACUGAGACACUGCCCGGACACCUACGGGUGGCUGCAGUAACGAAUAUUGGGCAAUGGGCGAAAGCCUGACCCAGCAAUGCCGCGUGCAGGAGGAAGUCCUUCGGGAUGUAAACUGCUGUCAGGGUCCAGCAAGCGAUACGGGUGAACAAUCCGUAAAGUUGAGCCGACCCAAGGAAGCCUCGG